GAUGAACGCUAGCUACAGGCUUAACACAUGCAAGUCGAGGGGCGAUCAGGAAGAAAGCUUUGCUUUUCUUUGCUGGCGACCGGCGCACGGGUGAGGUAACACGUAUCCAACCUGCCCUUUACUCGGGGAUAGCCUUUCGAAAGAAAGAUUAAUACCCGAAUGGGAUAAUUAUUCCGCAUGGUUUCAUUAUUAAAGGAUUCCGGUAAAGGAUGGGGAUGCGUUCC
rnacentral:rRNA from 1 species